GCCGAGGUGGUGAAACUGGUAGACGCAGCGGACUCAAAAUCCGCCGGUUCUUGGAACCAUGGGGGUUCGAUUCCCCCCCUCGGCA
rnacentral:tRNA from 1 species